UCCUGUGCAAUGAACUGAGGUUCUAGGA
rnacentral:piRNA from 1 species